UACGUAGGGGGCUAGCGUUGUCCGGAAUCAUUGGGCGUAAAGCGCAUGUAGGCGGUCCGGUAAGUCCGCUGUGAAAGCCAGGGGCUCAACCCUUGGAUGCCGGUGGAUACUGUCGGGCUUGAGUACGGAAGAGGCGAGUGGAAUUCCUGGUGUAGCGGUGAAAUGCGCAGAUAUCAGGAGGAACACCGAUGGCGAAGGCAGGUCUCUGGGCCACUACUGACGCUGAGAAGCGAAAGCAUGGGGAGCGAAUAGG
rnacentral:rRNA from 1 species